rnacentral:rRNA from 1 species
UACGUAGGCAGCGAGCGUUGUUCGGAGUUACUGGGCGUAAAGGGUAUGUAGGCGGUUGUUUAAGUUUGGUGUGAAAUCUCCCGGCUCAACUGGGAGGGUGCGCCGAAUACUGAGCGACUAGAGUGCGGGAGAGGAAAGUGAAAUUCCUGGUGUAGCGGUGAAAUGCGUAGAUAUCAGGAGGAACACCGGUGGUGUAGACGGCUUUCUGGACCGUAACUGACGCUGAGACACGAAAGCGUGGGUAGCAAACAGG